GAUGAACGCUGGCGGCGUGCCUAAUACAUGCAAGUCGAGCGAACGGACGAGAAGCUUGCUUCUCUGAUGUUAGCGGCGGACGGGUGAGUAACACGUGGAUAACCUACCUAUAAGACUGGGAUAACUUCGGGAAACCGUAGCUAAUACCGGAUAAUAUUUUGAACCGCAUGGUUCAAAAGUGAAAGACGGUCUUGCUGUCACUUAUAGAUGGAUCCGCGCUGCAUUAGCUAGUUGGUAAGGUAACGGCUUACCAAGGCAACGAUGCAUAGCCGACCUGAUAGGGUGAUCGGCCACACUGGAACUGAGACACGGUCCAGACUCCUACGGGAGGCAGCAGUAGGGAAUCUUCCGCAAAGGGCGAAAGCCUGACGGAGCAACGCCGCGUGAGUGAUGAAGGUCUUCGGAUCGUAAAACUCUGUUAUUAGGGAAGAACAUAUGUGUAAGUAACUGUGCACAUCUUGACGGUACCUAAUCAGAAAGCCACGGCUAACUACGUG
rnacentral:rRNA from 1 species